rnacentral:rRNA from 1 species
CUUUACUAUAGCUUGUCAUUGCAAUUUUAUUUUUGUUGUUUAGCAUAGGUGGGAGCCUUUGAUCCUCUGGCGCCAGCUGGAGGGGAGGCAUCAGUGAAAUACCACCCUGCAUGAAUGAAAUUGCUAAUCCUGAACUAACCUCUCGGGAAACAGUGACUGGUGGGUAGUUUAACUGGGGCGGUUGCCUCCUAAAUGGUAACGGAGGCGUUUAUUAAGGUAGGCUAGGCAUGGAUGGAAAUCAUGCCGGUAGUGCAAACGCAUAAGCCUGCUUGACUGCAAGGGCGGCGACCCGCGCAGGCACGAAAGUGGAAGUUAGUGAUCCGAUGCGUUCGAGUGGAAGACGCAAAGCCCAACGGAUAAAAGUUA